rnacentral:rRNA from 1 species
CCUACGGGAGGCAGCAGUGAGGAAUAUUGGUCAAUGGACGAGAGUCUGAACCAGCCAAGUAGCGUGAAGGAUGACUGCCCUAUGGGUUGUAAACUUCUUUUAUAUGGGAAUAAAACGUUCCACGUGUGGGAUUUUGUAUGUACCAUAUGAAUAAGGAUCGGCUAACUCCGUGCCAGCAGCCGCGGUAAUACGGAGGAUCCGAGCGUUAUCCGGAUUUAUUGGGUUUAAAGGGAGCGUAGGUGGAUUGUUAAGUCAGGUGUGAAAGUUUGCGGCUCAACCGUAAAAUUGCAGUUGAAACUGGCAGUCUUGAGUACAGUAGAGGUGGGCGGAAUGCGUGGUGUAGCGGUGAAAUGCUUAGAUAUCACGAAGAACUCCGAUUGCGAAGGCAGUUCACUGGACUGCAACUGACACUGAGGCUCGAAAGUGUGGGUAUCAAACAGGAUUAGAUACCCUUGUAGUC